rnacentral:misc_RNA from 1 species
UCUCCAAGCAUUCUAUUGGAAGCUUGGUUAUUCACAAAUGGCAUUUAGGAGUUGUUUCUGAAUUUGAGAACAUCAAGUGCCCAACCAUGCGAAAGAUUUUGACAAUCUAGGAUAAGCAUGCCCCAUCUUCUUAAUGGUGAAAUAUUCUAGGUUGCAUUUUCAGAAAAGCCAUUCUAGAUGUCUUCUAUUUGACUGGGUUAACAGGAAGAAGCAUAUAACCCCAGAAUUAUUAAUACUUGGAGAUUUUAAACAUCAAAGAG